GCCGACGUAGCUCAGCUGGUAGAGCAACGGUUUUGUAAACCGUUGGUCGGAGGUUCAAGUCCUCUCGUCGGCU
rnacentral:tRNA from 5 species